UCCUUUUUCCAUUGAUUUUAGCAUUCUGAUACAAAGGAAUAACAAGAUAUAUUUAGAUAAACAGAUCAGUAAACUCAUAUUCUCUGAUACAAAGGCAUAACUAGAUAAAAAAUAUACCCUAUAAUGAUCUUUGAUUUAAACAAGCAGACCAACGGGGCAAGGAAUGUUUGUACCGAAACAAAAGCUUUGAAUUUGAGCUUCUGAGGGUGUACAAGGACCAACAACCCAAUCACU
rnacentral:lncRNA from 1 species